rnacentral:sRNA from 1 species
UAGCUAUUGAUUCAAUAAAAGUUAGGUGA